GCCAAUGCAUGCUUUUACAGUAUGAAAAUUGGUGAUUUAUAAUAACUUAGCAAAUCGCAAAGUGAAAACAGGCGAUAAAUCAUUCAAGUUUCUGACCUAUCAGCUUUCGACGGUAUGGUAUUGGCUUACCGUGGCAGUGACGGUUAACGGGGGAUUAGGGUUCGAUUCCGGAGAGGGAGCCUGAGAAACGGCUACCACAUCUAAGGAAGGCAGCAGGCGCGCAAAUUACCCAAUUCUAACAGUUUGAGAGAGGUAGUAACAAGAAAUAACAAUACAAGGCAGUUAAAAUGCUUUGUAAUUGGAAUGAUAGAAAUUUAAACCCUUUUUAAAGUAUCAAUUGGAGGGCAAGUCUGGUGCCAGCAGCCGCGGUAAUUCCAGCUCCAAUAGCGUAUAUUAAAAUUGUUGCAGUUAAAAAGCUCGUAGUUGAAGUUCUGCUAAAAGUAACCGGUCUGCUUUGAAUAAAAGUGGUAUCUUGGUAUGUAUUUAGCAAUGAUGUCCUUUGAAGUGUUUUUUACUUUAUUGUAAUAAAGCAUAUUCAGGACUUUUACUUUGAGAAAAUUAGAGUGUUUCUAGCAGGCCAACGCUUUGAAUACUGCAGCAU
rnacentral:rRNA from 1 species